rnacentral:rRNA from 1 species
UACGGAGGGUGCGAGCGUUGUCCGGAUUUAUUGGGUUUAAAGGGAGCGUAGGUGGCCUUAUAAGUCAGUGGUGAAAUCUUCGAGCUUAACUCGGAAAUUGCCAUUGAUACUGUAGGGCUUGAGUAUAGUUCCGUUGGCGGAAUAUGACAUGUAGUGGUGAAAUACAUAGAGAUGUCAUAGAACACCGAUUGCGAAGGCAGCUGACGAAACUAUAACUGACACUGAGGCUCGAAAGUGCGGGGAUCAAACAGG